UGGGGGCAGAGGCAGGCCAAAGCCGGGGGGAGGAUGGAGGCAGGGCCUGCAGGAGAGGCAGCGAGCUGGGGGCCGAUCCGAGCUCCCCGGGCCCUGGAGCAGGGCCGGCCAGGAAGGCAAGUCCACAAAGUUCCCCUCCCUCCUGCCUGUGGGAGCUUCUCCCUGGCGGGCAGGCUUUGCCCCAGCAACCUUCCCCUCGCAUCGAUCCCCUUUCCCUGGCAGCAAAUAGAGGAGCUAAAUAUCUAAUGACUGAAGAGGUAACUUCAUUAAUAAAAUGCAAUCAGCGACAAGGUACAGGGCUUCAAUAUUAUUUAAAGCGAAGCCACUAAUUGAUUUCUCUUUUCCCCAACUCGAUCCGAGCAGACUGCAGGGUGAUAGAAAAAACACGAAGGGAAAACAUGCGACUAGCGAAGAGAAUGGAAAUUGUUACCCAGUGAACUUUAAGGGCUGAAUGGAUUUUAUGUUGAGGGGUAAACACAAAACCAUCUACUCAAGGCAGACGGGCUUUUUUUUCCCAGAGCUAAUGGAAUGAGUCAUCGACAGGGUGGAUUAUUUAAAGCACCAUGAUAUCCUUUUCCUUCAAAGUCUCCAGAAAUUACAAGACAUGCCGCUUUUAUGGGGCCAUUUGUUAGGAGACUGACAAGGUGCAGGUAUGCGGAUGAUAUGAAACCCCACUGCAUUUACAUACAAAUUGAAGAUUUUUAUUAAUCAGCCCAGUAACAGGAAUCAAACGGCAACACUCCAUCAGGUCCUUAAAUACAUUUGGUGACAUUUUUACCAUGCAUUAGCAUGAUAGGGCAAGCAGAAUAUAAUGUACCAAUGAUUGCUUUUCCAUUGAAAGCACAAACGGUUUCAUUUUUCCUGUCAUCUCAAAUAAGUGUUAAAGAGGGUUUGGAGGCUAUUGUGUACGUUCCGUAUGCUAGGGACUUACAAACACUGAUGGCCACAUUAAAUAACCAUUAGUGGCUCGGCUUAGAUCAUUGCAACAUCCCUCCUCUUCAGAAUUUAUUCUUUGAUUUAAAGUGAAAGCAAUCUGUGACUGCUUUCAUAAAGUCCUUCGGCUCCCUCCAUUUUUUUUCCUCAAACAAAAUGCAUUACAACAGUAAUUUUAUGACUGUUAAGAUAACUGCCGUUAACAAGCACUUAAUUAAAAUGUACAAUAAAUAGCAGGCUGCAGUCUUAUCUCCUCUCAUGAGCUCCCAGCAGCCUGAGACUCCAAUGCACAGCCCUGCUGUUCCUCAGCUUGUUUGCAGAUUAAUUGCUUUUCUGUCUGGCAAAAGCUGCUUCUCCUUCAGCCAGAUCGUAAAUGACCAGAUAGGGACUUUAUCAAUCAAGCUACUACUUUCUGUGAUCACUUCCAUUCAACACCUUCUGAAUUUCGCAUUGAGAGGAACAGAAGUUAUAGAGAUAGGAUUUAACAUCUUAGUUUUUGUGUGCUUGGAAUUUACGAUAGUACUGUCACCAUUUGACACUGUUAAUCUUUACGUACAAUACCCUUGGAGCAAGGCUGGUUUUGUUCCUACACUGGAACUAUACCUUGUAAGGACUGUGGAGAAUACAUAUGAAACACAACAGAGAUGCUCCCUGUAGCACAAGGUUACAUCUACUUCGUAAUCUGUAAGCAUUUGCUGAUGUGUCUCAGCAUCUCUCUCUUCCUAACCUUGGAUCCCAACCAUUUUUAACAGCUUGUUAUUUGAUUGAUCGGUAUCUUCUUUUAUUAUGAUUACAUAUUGUUUGUAUUGGAGCUGGUGUCUGGAGGUCCUGGUCAAGAAUCAGGGCUCCAUUUUGCUAGGCACUGGACAUUUAUGUAAUUAAAUGAAAAGCCAGGCCCUGCCCAAUGAGGUUUUAUAGAUGUUAAAUUAGACUUUGCCUACUGACAAAGCCUAUCUAUAACUGAUACAGCUUUGGAAAUUGUGCCCCUUGGCAGACAAACUAAAAUUUCUGAAUUAAAGACUGUAUAAAUAGGGCUAAUUAAAAUAUAAAUGUUAUGCUUUACCAAGAGGUUUAACUCCACAACUUCUGCUCCUUUCAGAAUUCAGAAGAUGUAUGACUGCAAAUACAAAAUUAGUGUGUAAAUCUACUGUAAACCACUUUUUGAAAUGCAUUCCUUGAACUGCAGUAAGAUACGAUGUUUUCAAUUUACCUGCUCAGAAUAUAAACAGAUCAUUCUAAUUUAUCAGAUUUAUCUCACAUGCUGAGCAGAAGGAAUGGAUUCCAUUUUGAGUCCUGAACACGCAUAGUAUAGUAACUUUGAACAUACAGUAUAUUAACUGGAGUUUGUUCCUGAAUACAUAUGAAGCUUCAGUGUUAAACAUAAUUUGUGUAGCUGCUUCAGUGUCAUCACUAAGGUCAAUCAUACCCCCCCCCCCAACCUAAACAAGCAAACAAACCCCACACCUCUGAAGGGAGCAGCUCAACAAACACAAAACACUUCUUUUGUGGCAGUCAGAAAGUCUGGGAAAUUUUCUCAAGGAUAAACUUAUGUUGAAGGCCAACAGACAGGCUUCUCCCCAACCACAGUGUGUGCAUUUAUGUUAGCAACCUCUAAGGCCACUUGGAGCAACCUUGCAAAAGAUUUUUUUCCCCUAAGAUCUUCUCUGAGUGGUUUCUUCACAUUCUUGUUCUCAAAACACAUCAUAAUGAGCUAAUUAUAAGUGAAUUGAAAGGAAAGUUACACUUAGCUGGACAAACCAGCCAGCCCUAUCCUUAGGCUUGCUCUGAGAGAGCCCCAAAGUAGAUCCACACAGACUCUGGCUGGAUCGUUGUGUUCACCUGAGUAAUGCAUACCUAUCAGUUGAAGAAUAAACCCUAAAGCAGUGGAAACAUGAUUCAGUGCAGAAAUGGAAGAAGCUAUAGAUGAAGAGUUGCUAUAGAAAUACACAGGCUGCUUAAGGAGAAAAUAACAGUUUGGAAACUUCCAAGCUAUUCGUCAUGGUCAGGACACAGCUACCAUUGAAAUAAGCAAACAAACAAGUACCAAAGAAAUAAUCACCCAGCAUAUCAGUGAGAAGAGAAUACCAUCCUGUGAAGACAGCAGAACUACAUACAUAGGUCAAACCAAUUUGCAUUGUAAUCCUGCUUCAGCCCAAAUGUAACUAACAUAUGUAUGCACAGGCACUUGCAGCUGUAAUGUAGUUAUGACAGGGAAAUAUUAUUAUCAAUGCGGGGGGGGGGGUAGUACACUCAGAACAGAGGGUUUGCAUUCCAUAUCUGCAAUCAUAACAUGAACAAGCAGAAUCACUAAAUACUCCUUAGAAAGACGUAAUACGUGCAUUUCAAACAUGCUGUGCUUAGCAAUGUUAGUGUGUGUUUAGUAUUUCUUUCUUAUUUAAAUACAAGUUCAAUUCUUGAUGAAGCCUGAGUUGCAGCAACAAUGGCUUUACAUUUUAUAUUUUCCAUGGGCAGAGAAGAGUUUCAGAUUCUGUCUUUUUUGGCAUUUUUUUAUAUUUACAUUUCUGUGGACACAGGACAUAGCACACCCCUGCUGCCUUUUAACUGUCUGCCCCUUUACAGUUAAGCAAGUGGUUACUUAUUUUGCUGCCUUGGCACCUGCAUU